UAAGGAAUAUUGGACAAUGGAGGCAACUCUGAUCCAGCCAUGCCGCGUGAAGGAAUAAGGCCCUAUGGGUUGUAAACUUCUUUUAGACGGGACAAAACCCCUUUACGUGUAAAGGGUUGAUGGUACUGUCAGAAUAAGCAUCGGCUAACUUCGUGCCAGCAGCCGCGGUAAUACGAAGGAUGCAAGCGUUAUCCGGAAUUAUUGGGUUUAAAGGGUGCGUAGGCGGACUAAUAAGUCAGUGGUGAAAGCCUGCAGCUUAACUGCAGAAUUGCCAUUGAUACUGUUAGUCUUGAGUACAGUUGAGGUAGGCGGAAUGUGUCAUGUAGCGGUGAAAUGCUUAGAUAUGACACAGAACACCGAUUGCGAAGGCAGCUUGCUAAGCUGUAACUGACGCUGAGGCACGAAAGCGUGG
rnacentral:rRNA from 1 species